rnacentral:rRNA from 1 species
UACGUAGGGUGCAAGCGUUAAUCGGAAUUACUGGGCGUAAAGCGUGCGCAGGCGGUGAGCUGUGUCCGAUGUGAAAGCCCCGGGCUUAACCUGGGAAUGGCAUUGGAAACUGGCUCGCUGGAGUGUGGCAGAGGGGGGUGGAAUUCCGCGUGUAGCAGUGAAAUGCGUAGAGAUGCGGAGGAACACCGAUGGCGAAGGCAAUCCCCUGGGCCUGCACUGACGCUCGAUGCACGAAAGCGUGGGGAGCAAACAGG